GGCGCUAUCGUCUAGGCUGGCCCAGGACGUCAGGUUCUCAACCUGAAGACACGAGUUCAAAUCUCGUUAGCGCUACCA
rnacentral:tRNA from 2 species